rnacentral:rRNA from 1 species
AACGAACGCUGGCGGCAUGCCUAACACAUGCAAGUCGAACGAGACCUUCGGGUCUAGUGGCGCACGGGUGCGUAACGCGUGGGAACCUGCCCUUAGGUUCGGAAUAACUCCCCGAAAGGGGUGCUAAUACCGGAUAAUGUCUUCAGACCAAAGAUUUAUCGCCUUUGGAUGGGCCCGCGUUGGAUUAGCUAGUUGGUAGGGUAAAAGCCUACCAAGGCGACGAUCCAUAGCUGGUCUGAGAGGAUGAUCAGCCACACUGGGACUGAGACACGGCCCAGACUCCUACGGGAAGCAGCAGUGGGGAAUAUUGGACAAUGGGCGAAAGCCUGAUCCAGCAAUGCCGCGUGAGUGAUGAAGGCCUUAGGGUUGUAAAGCUCUUUUACCAGGGAUGAUAAUGACAGUACCGGGAGAAUAAGCUCCGGCUAACUCCGUG